rnacentral:lncRNA from 1 species
CUCUCUUCUCCUCUAGAAUUCUAUUUAAAAUAAAAUACUAAUAUCUAAAAUAUUAAAUUCGUAAUUACAAAAAUAACCAAAAAUACAAAACACGUUAAACUAAAAACUGCAGGUCCGUAGUUGACAGCACGCGCCCACGCCUUAUCAACAAAGUUCUUCUGCCGCUCAUAAUUUCUCCAAGAGAACAAUCAUCCUUAAACAUCAUCUUGUAGCUCAAUUUUAUCACCAAUUAAUAGAAUUGCACCUACAAAAGUAAAUCACAAGUAAAUCACUAUUAUUAAGUGCAAAACAUGAUAUUAAGGGAAGUAAACAAUGCAAAACUAGUGCAUAAAUUGCACUCUAACAAAUUCCCCCACACCAAGAUGAUGCUUGUCCUCAAGCAUCUAACUCAAGACUAAUCUCAAAUCUCCACUAAAUUCUCAUCUCAACUCAUCCAAAAACAAUUUUAAGCAAGUAUACCUCAAGAAAUUAAGUCGAUCAACAUUCGAGAGACAAGGAUUUUAAAGCAUAGAAUCUCAUAAGAUAGAAUAAGAACAUUCAACCACUAAGAAGAUCCAUUCAAAAUUCAAGUGCAACAAGAUUGAAUAGCCCUCUCAUUGACUUCACUCCAUGCACUCAAAGUGUUUAGGGUGUCAUUUAUUCACUCAAAUCAAAUCAAAGAAUGCUAUUACCAUAAACUUGCUCAUAUAUCACAUCUCAAUCCACAAAACAUGAAUAAAAUGCAAGAAUCUAAGGGUUUUAAAAGGGUUGUAAUGGGGUUAAAUAGGUUAAAUGAAAAAGAAAAGUUUACGAAAGAAAAAGAGAUCAAAAUGAGAAGAAAAGUUUACGAAAGAAAAAGAGAUCAAAAUGAGAAGAAUGAACUCAUUGAAUGAACUUAUGAUAUCAAAUGUUUAUUUCUACUCAAGUCACCAAGAAUGUAAACUUUUUUUUUUCGAUUUUUCUUUUUCUCUUUUUUUUACAAAAGAAACGAACCUUGCACAAUUUAAUUCAAGCAUAAUGCUUGUUGAUCUAAUUGAGAAACUUUAAUACAAGGUAGAAAAAGCAACAAAAUAUAUCCACACAAUGAGUCCAAAAAUCUCCUUAAAUUGAGGCUCAAAAAGAAGAAAAAUGGUUAAGUAAAUUGAGGCUCAAAAAGAAGAAAAAUGGUUAAGUAGACGGAGAGAAUUAGAUGGGUAAUGGUUAAGGCUCAAACAAAGAUAGCAAAUAAAGAUCUUCGGGUAGAGAAAAAAAAAAGCGAGAAUAGAAAAAUGGAAAAGGGUUUGCCCUUAUCAUUUUAAUGCAAAAAAUCCCGUAAUGCGGCUUCAACAUGCAUAACAAAGCAAGUUCUAGAAUAAACAAACUAAGAUUGAUAUUCACAUAACAAAAAUAUUAGAGCAAAGUGGUUGCUCAUAGGCUCAAAUCCUCACAAAGUUGGUAAAUUUGCCAUCAAAUCAUGUACACUCUUCAAAUGAAUCAACCAUCAAUAGUGGUGUAGAAUGAGAAGAAGGUAGGAGUGAUAUAUAAAAGGAAAUGUAAAAAUGAUAAGAAGUGAGAAAGAUGUAUGUAGAAUAUGAAAAGUGAAAGAUAAAAUGUGAGUGAUGAAAAAGUAUGAUAGAAUAAAAAUAGAUGUAAAUAAUUUGAGAUAGAUGGAAAAAGAGUAGUGAGAAAGAAAAGAAAAGAAAAAUAAUAAUAUAUGAAGCAUACUAACUCCAAAAUCAUUUAAGGAUGAGUAGAGUGAAAAUAGAUGAGUAGAGUGAAAAUAAUACUUUCAGACAUCAAUAAUGCAAAAAUCUCUCCCCCACGCUAAGAACUUACAUUGUCCCUAAUGUAAGAUAAUCAAAGCUCACAUAAAAGAUUAAAAGCAAAAACUUCCUGAAUUAUGAGCUUUGAUCCUCAUAAAGUCUAUGGACUUGGCGGAAAUGGUGGGAUAAAUCCCACACUCUCGAAGUAUGCAGCCAAAUUCUGCUCCAUCUUGUUCAGCUUGUGCUCCAUUUUCUCUAACUGAAUGCUCAAAGGUGGUGCGGAUGNNNNNNNNNNNNNNNNNNNNNNNNNNNNNNNNNNNNNNNNNNNNNNNNNNNNNNNNNNNNNNNNNNNNNNNNNNNNNNNNNNUUUCUCUUGUUGAGUCGUGAAUGCGAGGCACCCUCCGAGAUUGGAUUCCGCAAGUGGCAAAACACUCAUGCCUUUUCCAUGUUUCGAUCUUUGUCUCACAGCUUGGCGUGAAUCUGAAACUGUGUUCCAUGGAACCGUAGUGGGAGCGGCAAUCUUGGAUUUCUUUGCGACGGGUAUCUUUUUAGAUGACUUGAAAGUUGAUGCUUUCCUCUUCGGCAUUGUUACAAUAAUUUCACUCACGAAUUUCGAUUCACUCGGCUGGAAUACAGGGCGUAGGCUGGUUGCAGACGAUUGCUGCUCGGCUGGAGCUUGGCGCAAUGGUGGAUCGCUGGUUGCGCGCUGGUGACGAUGGUUGCGUGCGGGAUGCUGCGCGCUGGGGCUGAUUCUGCUGCGCGCUGCUGGGGCUGGUUCUGCUGCGCUAGUGGGCUGCUGGAUCUGCGCGCUGGGGUUGAUUACACGCGAGAGCUGGGCUGACGCUGGUUCUGCGCGCUGCUGGGCAAAGGCUGGAUCUGCGUGCGUGGGUUGCUGCGUGGCUGCUCGGUGAAGGCUGGAUCUGCGCGCGCGCGGGAUGGAGCUGGUUGCGCGCACAGUUGCUGCUGCUGCUGCGUGGGCUGGUUUGCGAUGGUGGAUUGUGGUGCUGCGUGGCUGCUCGGUGAAGGCUGGAGAAGAAAACCAAUUCUGUGAAUUAGGGAUUUUGUGAACAGUAAAUUUUUUUUUCAAAUAAAAAAUAUAUAUAUAUAUAAAAGAAAGAAAAGAAAGAAAAAAAAAGUUUUUUUUUCGUUUUUUUAUUUUCAAAUAAAUAAAUAAUUUUUUUUUUUUUAUGAUGAACCACUUUGAGACACAAAAAAUAAAUUUCAGAAGUACUUUUCUAAUAAGCACGUGGGCACGCCUUAAAACCAUUUUGCGUUAAAAAUCACAGAAGUACUUAUUAGUUAAGACGUGGGCACGCCUUAUAAAAAAUUUUCUUCUGACCAAAAUAAGCAAACACAUUAUUUUUUUUAAAAAAAAAAUCUGAAUCAAAAUUAAAAGAAGAUAUAACAAAAACCAAAAUAAAUAAAUCAUUUGGGUUGCCUCCCAAAAAGCGCCUUUGUUUUAUGUCUUUGGCUAGACACAUUUAUGCAUCAAUCUCCAUAAUUGGGACUCUCGAGAGCCACAUCCUCCACAAUAUUCACCGAAAAACCUUUAUAAAAAAGGUUUUAAGCGAUGACCGUUAACCUUAAAAACUUUGUCAGAGGUCGGACUCCGAAUCUCAACUGCACCAUGAGGAAAAACAUUAGUAACAAUAAAAGGUCCAACCCAACAAGAACGUAAUUUACCCGGAAAAAGUUUAAGCUUAGAAUGAAAAAGAAGAACUUUUUGACCAACGGAGAACUCCUUUCUCAAAAUCAUUCUAUCAUGAAAUGUCUUCGUUUUUUCCUUGUAAAAAACUUCCUGCACUAUAGGGUUAAUAACAUCCACAGAAAAUACCGAAUGUUCCUCACUAGGAUAUUUCAUGGCAUCAUUCAUAUUGAAUUCUAUAACCUCUCCAUCAAAUUCCAUAGUGAGAGUCCCUUUAUGUACAUCCAUUUUAGUCUUAGCAGUCUUAAGAAAAGGUCUUCCUAGCAAAAUUGGGACAAAAUUGGAGGAGUUAUCCUCUUCCAUAUCAAGUACAUAAAAAUCAGCAGGAAAAACCAACUCAUUAACUUGUACUAAGACAUCUUCUAAUACCCCAUCAGGAUAUGCAUUAGACCUAUCAGCUAGUUGAAUUAUCACGCCAGUUUCUUUUAAUGGACCAACAUUCAAAGAUGAAUAAAUGGAACGAGGCAUGACAUUAAUAGAAGCUCCUAGAUCUAACAAAGCCUUUUCAAUUCUAACACUACCAAUUUUACAAGGGAUAGUAAACAUACCUGGAUCCUUGCACUUAGGAGGUAGUUUCUUUUGGAGAACUGCUGAAACAUUCUCCCCCAUGUGAACUUUUUCAUCUCCUCUUAAUUUUCUCUUAGAGGUGCAUAGUUCCUUAAGGACUUUAGCAUAUUGAGGUAUUUGUUUUAUAGCAUCUAAUAAAGGAAUAUUUACCUCAACCUUGCGAAAUGUCUCAAGGAUGUCUUUCUCUUGUUCCUCCUUCUUGGAUUUUGCAAACCGACUUGGAAAAGGAGGAGGUAUCACAAUAGGUAGGGGUUUCGCUCUGGUGGGUUCCGCAUCUUGAGAUUGAGGCAUCAAUUCAUUCUUUUCAAGCUCAUCUUCUACAUGUUUUGUCACUUUUUUACUAGGUUCUUGCAACUCCUUCCCACUUCUAAGGAUGACAGCACUAACGUUUUGCUUUGGAUUCACCUCAGAUUGUGAAGGCAAUCUCCCUAAUACUUGAGACUUCAGACGGCUCACUGUAGUCGCCAAUUGACUCAUUUGGUUCUCCAAAUUCUGAAUGCUUGCUGUAGUUGCCUGCUGAAAUUGUUGAGUGUUAGUCGCAAGUGAUUUAACAAUUUCUUCAAGAGAUAUACCUGACUUGGAGUUUGACUGUGGAGGUGCUGGUUGUCUUGGUGGAUACUGUUGUGGGAAUCCUGACGGCCUAACUCCAUAGCUGAAGUUAGGAUGAUCCUUCUAUCCCGGAUUGUAUGUUUGUGCAUAAGGAUCAUACCUCCUCUGAAGCAUGCCUGGAAAUCCUCCAGCUGCAUUAGCUUGCUCAACGAGUUCUUCUUGAAGGGUAGGACAUAUAUCAGUUGAAUGACCCAUAUUGUAACAAAUGCCACAAGUCUUCACCUAUUGCACAUUACCUACAACAAACUUUUCCACAAGAGAAGUAAGUUUAUCUAAACGUUGUUCAACAGAAGAAAUAUUUACCUCAUUCACAUUCCUUGAAGUGGGAUCUUGCCUGCUGCCAAAUUGUUGUGCAUUGGCAGCCAUAUUUGAGAUCAACUCUCUUGCUUGAGUAGGGGUUUUGUUCACCAACACACCUCCACUAGCAGCAUCUAUCAUACUCCUAUCAAUUAAUGAUAGUCCUUCGUAAAAAUAUUGAAUAAGAAGUUGAUCAGAAAUCUAAUGCUGAGGACAGCUGGCACACAAUUGUUUGAAUCGCUCCUAAUACUCAUACAAAGUCUCCCUAGGAAGUUGUCUGAUCCCACAAAUAUCUUUUCUGAUGUUUGCAGCUCUUGAAGCAGGAAAGUACUUCUCGAGGAACUGCUUCUUCAAACCAUUCCAUGUUGUAAUCGAUCCAGGAGGCAAGUAGUACAACCAAUCUUUAGCUAGUCCAUCUAAAGAGAAAGGAAAAACACGCAGCUUAAUCUGCUCUUCAGUCACGCCUUGUGGUCUCAUACUUGAACAUACAACAUGAAACUCCUUGAGAUGUUUAUAAGGAUCUUCACCUGCAAAACCAUGAAACUUGGGUAAUAAAUGAAUAAGACCAGACUUUAAUUCAAAAUUUACCUCCAAGUCUACAUAUUGAAUGCAGAGUGGUUGUUGAUUCAAGUCUGGUUCAGCUAACUCUCUAAGAGUUCUUUCUACAGGUGCAGGUCUAUCCAUCACUUGUUCUUCUGAAUCGCUAGAUGAUUCAACUAAAUCAGGCACCGUAUCUGUUUCAGAAAGCAAAGGCAACGAGGAUCGUUACUUAGCUCGCUUCGUCUGCUGUCUCAACUGGCGAGCUGUCUUCUCAAUUUCAGGAUCAAACGAAAGUGUACCUGUACGAGAAGAACGAACCAUACACCAAGUAAAACGUAAAAAGGAUUAAAUAAAUGACACCAAUCCCCAGCAACGGCGCCAAAAUUUGAUGGGUGUCGAAGCCAACAAAAAUAAAUUCCUACUCUAAAUAAAUUGUGUAUAGUGAUUGAGCAGGGUCGUGUCCACAGAGAUCGGUAAUUAUUUAAAUCCUUCUAAAACGUAAAACAUAAAAUAGGGGUUUUGUUGACAAUAAUAAAAAUCAAAUUAAAAUAACAAGAAUGCAAAUUAAAGUUGUAAUUCAAAUUGGAGAAAGCUCUGGUUGAAGGAAUUAACUCAGCUUCAUUCGACUACUGAUCAUUGAUUCAAAUAUAGAUUAUUAUUACUUAUGAAUAGACCGGUUAUAGCUAUUGAGACCCUCUAAUAGCCAAUCUCUCCUUAAAUAGUCGAUAACCAAGAUACGACCGUUGGAUAUUUCCCUAAUCAAUAGACAACCCUAGAUACGAUCAUAGGAUUUAAUCAAUUGACAACCUGAAAAACCAGAGAGACCCAAAUCCUAAUCAACACAUAUGAUGAUUCAUUUAAAUUAGAUUGUUUAUUCUCAUAACACAACUCACUGCUAUGUUAUUUGUCAUAAACAUUAAAAUCUUCAUACGAUGAAUCCUUUAAUUGACAAUAGAUUAAGUUGAUAAUUAAAUAGUGGCCAAUUACCUAAUUAACAAACAUAAUCAUGAAACUAAUUCAGAGAAUAAACAAAUACCCAAAAAGUAAUAAAACAAUUAAAGCAUAAGAAAGAUCUCACAGUAGUGAUGAAUCAAAGCUUCAUUAACCUUCAACCAGAAAAAUAGGUUUAGUUCUUCAUAGAGAGAAGAGAAAAGUUUAGAUCUAGGGUUUUCUUCUCUUUCUCCCCUCCAAAAUCCCCCUUUUUCACAAUAGAUUCCUCUCUUAAAUACUCUCUCUCUCUUCUCCUCUAGAAUUCUAUUUAAAAUAAAAUACUAAUAUCUAAAAUAUUAAAUUCGUAAUUACAAAAAUAACCAAAAAUACAAAACACGUUAAACUAAAAACUGCAGGUCCGUAGUUGACAGCACGCGCCCACGCCUUAUCAACAAAGUUCUUCUGCCGCUCAUAAUUUCUCCAAGAGAACAAUCAUCCUUAAACAUCAUCUUGUAGCU